rnacentral:rRNA from 1 species
UUGAAAAUCAAAAAGGAAAUGACGGGGGGCCCGCACAAGGCGGGUGGAGCAUGUGGUUUAAUUCGAAGCUACGCGAAGCUCCUUACCAGGUCUUAACAUCUUCUGCCAAUAUUAGAGAUAAGACCUUCCCUUUGGGGACAGAAUGACAGGUGGAGCAUGGUUGUCGUCAGCUGGUGUCGUGAGAUGUUGGGUUAAGUCCCGCAACGAGCGCCACCCUUAUUAUCAGUUGCCAGCAUUCAGUUGGGCAUUCUGGUGAGACUGCCGGCGACAAACCGGAGGAAGGUGGGGAUGACGUCAAAUCAUCACCCCCCUUAUGACCUGGGCUACACACGUGCUACAAUGGACGGUACAACGAGUCGCGAAGUCGUGAGGAUAAGAUAAUCUAUUAAAGCCGUUAUCAGUUCGGAUAGUAGGCUGCAACUCGCCUACAAGAAGUUGGAAUCGGUAGUAAUCGCGGAUCAGCAUGCCGCGGUGAAUUUGUUCCCGGGCCUUGUCCACACCGCCCGUCUCACCAUGAGAGUUUGCAACACCCAAAGCCGGUGAGAUCCCUUCGGGAGUCA